rnacentral:lncRNA from 1 species
UUAGAUAAACAGGAGAAAGAAUGGGGCCGUAGCUUCCAGAGAGAGGAGCUCUGCACCGGCGGGGUGCGAGGAAGGCAGGCGAGGGAGGCGGAGGGAGCCCAUACUCCCACCUCGGCGCCUCUCCUCCCGCAGCAAACGCUCAGCCCCCGCCCUCUCUCUCCGUUCCGGACCCUCCACCCGGCUGGCGAGAGGGCAGCGCGGGAGAGGCGGUGGCAGGGCUCUGACUGUCACGUUCGUUCCCUGCUGCUUUUCCCGUCCCCAGCCUCCUCGCCCCUCCUCCCUCAUCCUCAGCCGGGGUUUGGAGGCGAUUCCCCUCUAGUGACUGAGACGAUCGCAUCUGGGCGAGCGGCGCUUCGCCUCCCUCGCGUCUUUGUCUCCUCCUCCUGCAAGGCUCCGGGGCCGGGCGCAGGGUCUGCAGCAGCCGCCGCAGAAGCGGGAGCCAAGCGGUGCUCCGCACGGCCGCCCGGAGCCGCACCCUCGCUCGGUGGAGGCGCCGGAGGACGCCGGCCAGCCACGCACAGCCGGCGUCCCGCGCUCCUGCCGCCGCGCACUAACGCCGCCGCCGCCGCGGCGGGGAACGAGCCCUCCCGGCCGGCCGGGUCCGGGGUGGGCAGCCCGGCUGGCAGCGGGGUGGGAAGAGCGGGCGCUGCAGCUCUGGCAGCUCACACCCCCAGGCAUACGCAUCCAACGCCUCUUCCCUGCGCCACGAGGAUGGAGCAGCCACCCCGGCCCGGGACUGGCGCAAGGUACCCAAGCAAGGACAGGAAUAAUGAAGAGACACAUGUGUUAGCUGCAACCUUUUGAAAUAAGCAAGAAGGAAAUCAGCAGUGUGGACAAGGCUGGAACCGUUGCCACGCUUGCUUGUCGGAGUGAAUGAGGAAUGGGCUUGU